rnacentral:rRNA from 1 species
AGUGAACGCUGGCGGUAGGCCUAACACAUGCAAGUCGAACGGCAGCACAGUAAGAGCUUGCUCUUACGGGUGGCGAGUGGCGGACGGGUGAGGAAUACAUCGGAAUCUACUUUUUCGUGGGGGAUAACGUAGGGAAACUUACGCUAAUACCGCAUACGACCUACGGGUGAAAGCAGGGGAUCUUCGGACCUUGCGCGAUUGAAUGAGCCGAUGUCGGAUUAGCUAGUUGGCGGGGUAAAGGCCAACCAAGGCGACGAUCCGUAGCUGGUCUGAGAGGAUGAUAAGCCACACUGGAACGGAGACACGGUCCAGACUACUACGGGAGGCAGCAGUGGGGAAUAUUGGACAAUGGGCGCAAGCCUGAUCCAGCCAUACCGCGUGUGUGAAGAAGGCCUUCGGGUUGUAAAGCCCUUUUGUUGGGAAAGAAAAGCAGCAGGUUAAUACCCCGCUGUUCUGACGGUACCCAAAGAAUAAGCACCGGCUAACUUCGUG